AAAAGUUGAUCUUCCACAAUCCUUUAAAAACCGUCAACAACUUGCACAAAAUGAAGAAGAAAAACAAUUUCAGUAAAUGUGAAAUGUGGAACCAAAGUGUGGUUCCAUUUUCUAGUUGGACCUAAUAAAAUGAUGCACUGCCGGCGCUGGUUUUACAGGAAGAGGGUGAUUUUGUGGGGGAAUAAACAGAGCAGAGCAGCAGGGGGAGAUGGAUUCUGACUGCAAAGAAGAUAGUCUUGGAAUAACCCUGAGUCAUCAUUUCAACUUGAGCGUAAUUGCUUCUUCCUGUCUGAGGGAGGUGCUGUCACUCCAGUCAAGAUCUUGUGCUCUAUGUUUUGAGCUGCUGACUACAUUAAUAAGGGUUUCUAUACAUUUGCCAUAUUUGCACUUAAACUUGUGAGUUACGAAUCUAUUGUGCCCAUUUUAAAAUAUGACUAUGGAUGACAGAGGGGCAUGCUUUAAAUAUGAAACCUGUAAAAACCAGAGAUUGAAUGGAAUACAAAAGGACAACAAGGGAAAACCAGAGCAUAAGGAAGAAAGACAGUUGGACAGAAAGGAGAAAAUAGAACUGACACACUAAGGACCGAAGAAAAAUUAAGGAAACAGGGAAAUGCAUAAGAGAGGAGGGUAAGGAAAAAAUUAACAAAAGACUUUGAAGAAGGAAGGGAGAAACAAAAGAAGAAAAAAAUCUGAGGUGUAAAGAAAAGUAUAAAGGAUUGAGGGAAGGAUACAAUAAUAAAAGAAAGCAGGGAGGGACACAAUAGUUAGACAAUGGGAACAGCAAACAAAGUUUGGAAAUACAAAGAUGUUUCCUUACUGUCUUCUUCCAUACUUAUCCAGACCUGGAAAAAGCUGAAAUAAAAUUCCAGACUUUUGCAGUGUAUGUCGAAAAACUUGUCUAUGCUAAUGUUGCAAGGAAAAUAUGUAAUUGUGACACUACUGCUGAAUAAAAUCUACCAUUUUCCCUGUAUCUCGACACAAUGUUCCUACUACUUUCAGAGAGUCAAGAGUCCUUGUAACUGGCCAAAUAUAUUAUCGAAAUGCUGGGUUUGAGCGCAUGACCCUUUUUUUCCUUUUACAAAUAAGGGUAGCAAACUACCAAAGAAAAAAUAAAAUUUUGCAACUACCAAAGAUGCAAAGAUAUUCAUCCAAAGAGUAUUCUACAAAUCUUGU